GAUGAACGCUGGCUACAGGCUUAACACAUGCAAGUCGAGGGGAAACGACGGGGAAGCUUGCUUCCCCGGGCGUCGACCGGCGCACGGGUGAGUAACGCGUUUCCAACCUGCCUCUGACUGAGGGAUAACCCGUCGAAAGUCGGCCUAAUACCUCAUGGCAUCGUCUGCGGGCAUCCAACGACGAUUAAAGAUUUCAUCGGUCAGGGAUGGGGAUGCGUCUGAUUAGCUUGUUGGCGGGGUAACGGCCCACCAAGGCUACGAUCAGUAGGGGUUCUGAGAGGAAGGUCCCCCACAUUGGAACUGAGACACGGUCCAAACUCCUACGGGAGGCAGCAGUGAGGAAUAUUGGUCAAUGGGCGGGAGCCUGAACCAGCCAAGUAGCGUGCAGGAUGACGGCCCUAUGGGUUGUAAACUGCUUUUAUGCGGGGAUAAAGUGAGGGACGUGUCCUUCAUUGCAGGUACCGCAUGAAUAAGGACCGGCUAAUUCCGUG
rnacentral:rRNA from 1 species